CCUACGGGAGGCAGCAGUGAGGAAUAUUGGUCAAUGGGCGCGCGCCUGAACCAGCCAAGUAGCGUGAAGGAUGACUGCCCUACGGGUUGUAAACUUCUUUUAUAAAGGAAUAAAGUGAGGCACGUGUGCCUUUUUGUAUGUACUUUAUGAAUAAGGAUCGGCUAACUCCGUGCCAGCAGCCGCGGUAAUACGGAGGAUUCGAGCGUUAUCCGGAUUUAUUGGGUUUAAAGGGAGCGUAGAUGGGUUGUUAAGUCAGUUGUGAAAGUUUGCGGCUCAACCGUAAAAUUGCAAUUGAUACUGGCGGCCUUGAGUACAGUUGAGGUAGGCGGAAUUCGUGGUGUAGCGGUGAAAUGCUUAGAUAUCACGAAGAACUCCGAUUGCGAAGGCAGCUUACUAAACUGCCACUGACAUUGAUGCUCUAAAGUGUGGGUAUCAAACAGGAUUAGAUACCCUAGUAGUC
rnacentral:rRNA from 1 species